rnacentral:rRNA from 1 species
AGAGUUUGAUCCUGGCUCAGGAUGAACGCUAGCGGCAGGCCUAACACAUGCAAGUCGAGGGGCAGCAUUUCUAGCUUGCUAGAAGAUGGCGACCGGCGCACGGGUGAGUAACGCGUAUGCAACCUACCUUAUACUGGGGGAUAGCCCAGAGAAAUCUGGAUUAAUACCGCAUAACAUAUUUGAAUCGCAUGAUUUGAAUAUUAAAACUCCGGUGGUAUAAGAUGGGCAUGCGUAGCAUUAGUUCGUUGGUGAGGUAACGGCUCACCAAGACUAUGAUGCUUAGGGGGUCUGAGAGGAUAGUCCCCCACACUGGUACUGAGACACGGACCAGACUCCUACGGGAGGCAGCAGUGAGGAAUAUUGGUCAAUGGGCGAAAGCCUGAACCAGCCAUGUCGCGUGCAGGAUGACGGCCCUAUGGGUUGUAAACUGCUUUUUUUACAGGAAUAAUUGUCGAUACGUGUAUCGAUUUGAAUGUACUGUAUGAAUAAGGAUCGGCUAACUCCGUGCCAGCAGCCGCGGUAAUACGGAGGAUUCGAGCGUUAUCCGGAUUUAUUGGGUUUAAAGGGUCCGUAGGCGGUUCUUUAAGUCAGUGGUGAAAUCCCAGAGCUCAACUCUGGAACUGCCAUUGAAACUGAAGAACUUGAAUAUGGUUGAGGUAGGCGGAAUACGUUAUGUAGCGGUGAAAUGCAUAGAUAUAACGUAGAACACCAAUUGCGAAGGCAGCUUACUAAACCAUUAUUGACGCUGAUGGACGAAAGCGUGGGGAGCGAACAGGAUUAGAUACCCUGGUAGUCCACGCCGUAAACGAAGAUUACUCGUUGUGCACAAUACAUCGUGCGUGACUGAGCGAAAGCAUUAAGUAAUCCACCUGGGGAGUACGUUCGCAAGAAUGAAACUCAAAGGAAUUGACGGGGGCCCGCACAAGCGGAGGAACAUGUGGUUUAAUUCGAUGGUACGCGAGGAACCUUACCUGGACUUAAAUGUAGAUUGACCCUCUUAGAAAUAGGAGUUCUCUUCGGAGCAAUUUACAAGGUGCUGCAUGGUUGUCGUCAGCUCGUGCCGUGAGGUGUCGGGUUAAGUCCCAUAACGAGCGCAACCCCUAUCGUUAGUUGCUAGCAGGUAAUGCUGAGGACUCUAGCGAGACUGCCACCGUAAGGUGAGAGGAAGGUGGGGAUGACGUCAAAUCAGCACGGCCCUUACGUCCAGGGCUACACACGUGUUACAAUGGCCAGUACAAAGGGCAGCUACCUGGUGACAGGAUGCUAACCUCAAAAGCUGGUCUCAGUUCGGAUCGGAGUCUGCAACUCGACUCCGUGAAGUUGGAUUCGCUAGUAAUCGUAUAUCAGCAAUGAUACGGUGAAUACGUUCCCGGGCCUUGUACACACCGCCCGUCAAGCCAUGGAAGCCGAGGGUGCCUGAAGUACGUUACCGCAAGGAGCGUCCUAGGGUAAAAUUGGUAACUGGGGCUAAGUCGUAACAAGGUA